rnacentral:lncRNA from 1 species
GCACCCUGGGGACAUUGGGGACGCCUCAACAGCACCCUGGGGACCUUGGGGACACGUCCUCAGCACCCUGGGGACACGUCCUCAGCACCCAAGGGACAUUAGGGACACCUCCCUGACACCCUGAGGACCUUGGGGACACCUCAGCAGCACCCAGGGGACUGUAGGGACAACCUGAGGACCUUGGGGACACCUCCCUGCACCCUGGGGACCUUGGGGACACCUCAACAGCACCCAGGGAUCUGUGGGGACACCCAGGGGACCUUGGGGACAUGUCCCCAGCACCCAGGGGACCUUGAGGAAACCGUUCGGGCACCCUGGGGACCUUGGGGACACCUCAACAGCACCCAGGGAUCUGUGGGCACAGCCAGGGGACCUUGGGGACAUGUCCCCAGCACCCAAGGGACAUUGGGGACACCUCCCUGGCACCCUGAAGACCACAGAGAGACCUCAGCAGCACCCUGGGGACCACGGGGACACCUCAACAGCACCCAGGGGACUGCGGGGACCCCCAGGAGACUGCGGGGACCCCCAGGGG